rnacentral:pre_miRNA from 1 species
GUGCACCAUUGUGUAUUAUGGCUUUUUAUUCCUAUGUGAUGGUGAAAAAUGUUCAUGUAGGAACAGAAGCCAUUUUACACGUGGCGAUAC